rnacentral:rRNA from 1 species
CAACAUUCGCCGAUCCAUAGUCAGCAUCGUUUAUGAUUGAGACUAGGACUGAUGUGCAACUGAGAGGUUAGCACAACGAGGAUCAAGUAAUGUUCCACUUAUCGUGGAAGAAUGUAUGCUCGAAGGUCAAGACUGCGCUAUCAAGAAGAUAGGUGGAUUUUGACGAGCUAAGCACGCACUCGAGUGGCCGGACAAUUGUGGUCUCGGCAAACUAGUGCGGCGCAGUAAGGAAGGAAAAGAGAGAAGGAAAAUACCGCUCGGGAAGGAGGCGGGCGUGGUUCAGAAGGUUUGUGGAGGUGGGUGGCGAGGCAACUUAGACACUCGGGCAGUUGAGUGGCUAAGCUCGAUAGCUCGAGGGAACGCUCGGAUAUGACUCACCGGUUGCUCGACGAGGGUUGAGACUCCUUGGCCGGAUGUGACUCACCAAAGAAGAGGGGUGAAAAGAGUUCUAUCAAGUAAGGCGCGAGGCUCUCUUAUUUGAUAAACUUCAAUGAGAAAACAAGAAGGGGAGGGGUACAUUAUAUAGGCUGAGGAAGGAUCCCUAUAAGGUAAUCCUAGGGCCCAUGGAGGGGGUUCCCUGUAAGGAAGGCGGCUGGCCCUUUAAGGUUCCUUCUUAUUCUAAGGCUUAGAAAAUCGGAAAAAUAUAGAAAAGGCCAAUGGGCCUACAAAGCGGGCUUGGCAGCCUCGAACAUGUCCUCGGUUGCGAUCGUGGCACUGUUGGGCGCUGAAGUGUGCGCGUGCGAUGGUACCAAGGUGCGUGGGGCCGGUGUCAUGAUGCUAAGUUGUGCGCGCGUGGGCGACUCUGCUGAUAGUGGGACCUCAGGAAGAGUUAUCUUUUCUGUUUAACAGCUUGCCCACCCUGGAAAUGGCUCAGCCGGAGGUAGGGUCUAGGGGCUGGAAGAGCAUCGCACGUCGCGCGGUGUCUGGUACGUCCUUGAUGGCCCUUGAAAAUUCAGAGGACCGAGUGCCUCCCACGGUCGGUCGUACUCAGAACCGCAUCAGGUUUGCAAGGUGAACAGGCUCUGGUCGAUGGAACAAUGUAGGCAAGGGAUGUUGGCAAAAUGGAUCUGUAACCUUGGGAAAAGGAUUGGCUCUGAGUGCUGGGCAUAGGGGUCCCCGUCUCGAAUCCGUAGGCUGUCGAUGGACUGCUCGAGCUGCUCUCACAGUGAGAGCGGGUCGUCGCAUGCCGGCCGAGGGACGGACUGGAAACGGCUCCUUCGGGGUCCUUCCUCGGGCAUCGAACAGUCGACUCAGAACUGGUACGGACAAGGGGAAUCCGACUAUUUAAUUAAAACAAAGCAUUGCGAUGGUCCUUCCGGAUGCUCACGCAAUGUGAUUUCUGCCCAGUGCUCUGAAUGUUAAUGUGAAGAAAUUCAACCAAUCGUGGGUAAACGGCGAGAGUAACUAUGACUCUCUUAAGGUAGCCAAAUGCCUAGUCAUCUAAUUAAUUGCGUACAUGAAUGGAUUAACGAGAUUCUCACUGUCCCUGUCCACUAUCCAACAAAACCACAGCCAAGGGAACGAGCUUGGCAGAAUCAGCGGGAAAGAAGACCCUAUUGAGCUUGACUCUAGUCCGACUAUGUGAAAUGACUUGAGAGGUGUAGGAUAAGUGGGAGCCGGAAACGGCGAAAGUGAAAUACCACAACUUUUAACGUUAUUUUACUUAUUCCAUGAAUCGAAAGCGGGGCAACGCCCCUCUUUUUGGACCCAAGGCCCACCUCGGCAGGUCGAUCAGGGCGGAAGACAUUGUCAACUGGGGAGUUUGGCUGGGGCGGCACAUCUUUUAAAAGAUAACGCAGGUGUCCGAAGAUGAGCUCAACGAGAACAGAAAUCUCGUGUGGCACAAAAGGGUAAACGCUCAUUUGAUUCUGAUUUCCAGUACAAAUAUGAACCGUGAAAGCGUGGCCUAUCGAUCCUUUAGACCUUCGGAAUUUAAAGCUAGAGGUGUCAGAAAAGUUACCACAUGGAUAACUGGCUUGUGGCAGCCAAGCGUUCAUAGCAACGUUUCUUUUUGAUCCUUUGAUGUCGGCUCUUCCUAUCAUUGUAAAGCAGAAUUCACCAAGUGUUGGAUUGUUCACCCACCAAUAGGGAACGUAAGCUGGGUUUAGACCGUCGUGAGAUAGGUUACUUUUACCCUACUAAUGACAGCGUCACAAUAGUAAUUCAACCUAGUACGAGAGAAACCGUUGAUUUGCACAAUUGGUCAUCGCGCUUGGUUGAAAAGCCAGUGGCGCGAAGCUACCAUGCGCUGGAUUAUGACUGAACGCCUCUAAGUCAGAAUCCUUGCUAGAAGCGACGCACAUGCCCACCGCCCGAUCGUCGACCAACAAUAGGGGCCCUCUGCCCCAAGGGCACAUGUCGUUGGCCAAGCCUUCGCAACCGAGCCAUUGCGUGGGCCGCCUUGAAGUGUUAUUUCAACCGUGC